rnacentral:rRNA from 1 species
CACGUAGGGGCAGCAGUCGUCGAUCGAUUGUGGCGUAAAGCGCGCGCAGGCGGUCCUUUAAGUCUGAUGUGAAAGCCCACGGCUCAACCGUGGAGGGUCAUUGGAAACUGGGGGGACUUGAGUGCAGGAGAGAAGAGUGGAAUUCCACGUGUAGCGGUGAAAUGCGUAGAGAUGUGGAGGAACACCAGUGGCGAAGGCGACUCUUUGGCCUGUAACUGACGCUGAGGCGCGAAAGCGUGGGGAGCAAACAGG